AUUGAACGCUGGCGGCAUGCCUUACACAUGCAAGUCGAACGGUAACAGGUCCUCGGAUGCUGACGAGUGGCGAACGGGUGAGUAAUACAUCGGAACGUGCCCGAUCGUGGGGGAUAACGAAGCGAAAGCUUUGCUAAUACCGCAUAAGAUCUAAGGAUGAAAGCAGGGGACCGCAAGGCCUUGCGCGAACGGAGCGGCCGAUGGCAGAUUAGGUAGUUGGUGGGAUAAAAGCUUACCAAGCCGACGAUCUGUAGCUGGUCUGAGAGGAAGACCAGCCACACUGGAACUGAGACACGGCCCAGACUCCUACGGGAGGCAGCAGUGGGGAAUUUUGGACAAUGGGCGAAAGCCUGAUCCAGCCAUGCCGCGUGCAGGAUGAAGGCCUUCGGGUUGUAAACUGCUUUUGUACGGAACGAAAAGACUCUUUCUAAUAAAGAGGGUCCAUGACGGUACCGUAAGAAUAAGCACCGGCUAACUACGUGCCAGCCGCCGCCGUAAUAC
rnacentral:rRNA from 1 species